ACGUAGGGGGCAAGCGUUAUCCGGAUUUACUGGGUGUAAAGGGAGCGUAGACGGCACGGCAAGCCAGAUGUGAAAGCCCGGGGCUCAACCCCGGGACUGCAUUUGGAACUGCUGAGCUAGAGUGUCGGAGAGGCAAGUGGAAUUCCUAGUGUAGCGGUGAAAUGUGUAGAUAUUAGGAGGAACACCAGUGGCGAAGGCGGCUUGCUGGACGAUGACUGACGUUGAGGCUCGAAAGCGUGGGGAGCAAACAG
rnacentral:rRNA from 1 species